rnacentral:rRNA from 1 species
AACGCGAAGAACCUUACCUGGACUUGACAUCCCCCUGGAUGCAGCGUAACGGCUGCAGGCCUCCGGGACAGGGGAGACAGGUGGUGCAUGGUUGUCGUCAGCUCGUGUCGUGAGAUGUUGGGUUAAGUCCCGCAACGAGCGCAACCCUUAUCCUUAGUAGCCAGCAGGUAAAGCCGGGCACUCUAGGGAGACUGCCGGGGAUAACCCGGAGGAAGGCGGGGAUGACGUCAAAUCAUCAUGCCCCUUAUGUCCAGGGCUACACACGUGCUACAAUGGCGUAAACAAAGGGAAGCGAAGUGGUGACAUGGAGCAAAUCCCAGAAAUAACGCCCCAGUUCGGAUUGUAGUCUGCAACCCGACUACAUGAAGCCGGAAUCGCUAGUAAUCGCGGAUCAGAAUGCCGCGGUGAAUACGUUCCCGGGUCUUGUACACACCG